rnacentral:rRNA from 1 species
GACGAACGCUGGCGGCGUGCUUAACACAUGCAAGUCGAACGGAAAGGCCCCUUUUGGGGUACUCGAGUGGCGAACGGGUGAGUAACACGUGAGUAACCUGCCCUUGACUUCGGGAUAACUUCAGGAAACUGGGGCUAAUACCGGAUAGGAAUCCUUGCUGCAUGGUGGGGGUUGGAAAGCUUCGGCGGUGUUGGAUGGACUCGCGGCUUAUCAGCUUGUUGGUGGGGUAGUGGCUUACCAAGGCUUUGACGGGUAGCCGGCCUGAGAGGGCGACCGGCCACAUUGGGACUGAGAUACGGCCCAGACUCCUACGGGAGGCAGCAGUGGGGAAUAUUGCACAAUGGGCGGAAGCCUGAUGCAGCAACGCCGCGUGCGGGAUGACGGCCUUCGGGUUGUAAACCGCUUUCAGCAGGGGCGAAGCUUGUGGUGACGGUACCUGCAGAAGAAGCACCGGCUAACUACGUG